rnacentral:rRNA from 1 species
CCUACGGGAGACAGCAGUGAGGAAUAUUGGUCAAUGGACGAGAGUCUGAACCAGCCAAGUAGCGUGAAGGAUGACUGCCCUAUGGGUUGUAAACUUCUUUUAUAUGGGAAUAAAACGUUCCACGUGUGGGAUUUUGUAUGUACCAUAUGAAUAAGGAUCGGCUAACUCCGUGCCAGCAGCCGCGGUAAUACGGAGGAGCCGAGCGUUAUCCGGAUUUAUUGGGUUUAAAGGGAGCGUAGGUGGAUUGUUAAGUCAGUUGUGAAAGUUUGCGGCUCAACCUUAAAAUUGCAGUUGAAACUGGCAGUCUUGAGUACAGUAGAGGUGGGCGGAAUUCGUGGUGUAGCGGUGAAAUGCUUAGAUAUCACGAAGAACUCCGAUUGCGAAGGCAGUUCACUGGACUGCAACGGACACUGAGGCUCGAAAGUGUGGGUAUCAAACAGGAUUAGAUACCCCAGUAGUC